rnacentral:lncRNA from 1 species
AUAAUCUGUUUAAAUACUGAUGGAAAAGCACAGCCCUCUGUCACCCUGCUGUCAGAUCCGGAGCAAGGACUCACUAUGAUGGGGAAACUCGGAGACAGAACAGAUCACUUUGUGCAGUUUGAAAUCAGCUAUGUGAAUCCCCCCGCCCGAAUCCACGUAUCUACAGAUGCAAUUGUCCUAUGCCACAAUAAUGAGAGCACUCGGCUGCCAUGGACAGAGUCGGCCACCUCCACCAUCCAGGGGCUGAGCAUCUCAGUUGAAAGGGAAAGGAGCGUUACAGCAUCAUUGUCUGAUACAGUCACAGUAAAAAUUUCCCUUAUAAAGUUUCCAGAGGAUUGCCUUGGGCUGCACUUCUUGAACACUGACCGUUUUUCUGACAAAGUCAGUGGAGCUCUGGGACAAUUUUAUUCAAAAGCACAAUUUGAGAAUAGUUCCAACAUGAAUCGGAGAGCUGAUGAGAUACUCCUCAGUGGACUUCAACAAGGCUUUAGACACUGUCUCCCUUGGCAUUCCCCUGGACAAGCUCAGGAAGCACCGGCUGGACAAGCAGAUGGCAGUACAAGAACGAUUACAGGCUUGAGUCAGCCAGUGAACCUGUUUCCUGCUGGUCAAUAGAUCUAACUCCCUAGAAAAGAGUAUUCUGGGAAAGAAAACUAUGCAAAUGAUGCUCUUCCAAAUACUUUUUGUCAUCAAGAAAAGCACACAGUUAAAACCUUACCUGUUACUGUAUACCAAUGUCACAAAGCUUUUACCUUGAAAUAAUUAUACUUUCAAGAUGAGAAUGUGCUUGCUUGUUAUUUUAAACUGCUUUAUAAUACUCAAUGGGAUUAUGUUGUUGAAGAUUUAUGUGAAUGAACUGAAUAAAAUUAACAUUAUCAGCUUACA